rnacentral:rRNA from 1 species
UACGUAGAAGACUAGUGUUAUUCAUCUUUAAUAGGUUUAAAGGGUACCUAGACGGUAUAAUUAGUCUAAAAUAAGAUACGGUUAUACUAGAGUUAUAUAUGAGGAGGUGAGUAUUUAUGGAGUAGAGUUGAAAAUUUGUUGAUCCCAUAACGACUGGUAUCGGCGAAAGCAACCUUUUAUCUAAUAACUGACGUUGAGAGACGAAGGCUCGGGUAACGAACAGG